CCUACGGGUGGCUGCAGUGGGGAAUAUUGGACAAUGGGGGGAACCCUGAUCCAGCCAUGCCGCGUGUGUGAAGAAGGCCCUCGGGUUGUAAAGCACUUUCAGUGAGGAAGAACGCCUGGUGGUUAAUACCCAUCAGGAAAGACAUCACUCACAGAAGAAGCACCGGCUAACUCCGUGCCAGCAGCCGCGGUAAUACGGAGGGUGCGAGCGUUAAUCGGAAUUACUGGGCGUAAAGCGCGCGUAGGUGGCUUGAUAAGCCGGUUGUGAAAGCCCCGGGCUCAACCUGGGAACGGCAUCCGGAACUGUCAAGCUAGAGUGCAGGAGAGGAAGGUAGAAUUCCCGGUGUAGCGGUGAAAUGCGUAGAGAUCGGGAGGAACACCAGUGGCGAAGGCGGCCUUCUGGACUGACACUGACACUGAGGUGCGAAAGCGUGGGUAGCAAACAGGAUUAGAUACCCCUGUAGUC
rnacentral:rRNA from 1 species